AUUGAACGCUGGCGGCAUGCUUUACACAUGCAAGUCGGACGGCAGCACAGAGAAGCUUGCUUCUUGGGUGGCGAGUGGCGAACGGGUGAGUAAUAUAUCGGAACGUACCGAGUAAUGGGGGAUAACUAAUCGAAAGAUUAGCUAAUACCGCAUAUUCUCUGAGGAGGAAAGCAGGGGACCUUCGGGCCUUGCGUUAUUCGAGCGGCCGAUAUCUGAUUAGCUAGUUGGUGGGGUAAAGGCCUACCAAGGCGACGAUCAGUAGCGGGUCUGAGAGGAUGAUCCGCCACACUGGGACUGAGACACGGCCCAGACUCCUACGGGAGGCAGCAGUGGGGAAUUUUGGACAAUGGGCGCAAGCCUGAUCCAGCCAUGCCGCGUGUCUGAAGAAGGCCUUCGGGUUGUAAAGGACUUUUGUCAGGGAAGAAAAGGCUGUUGCUAAUACCGACAGCUGAUGACGGUACCUGAAGAAUAAGCACCGGCUAACUACGUGCCAGCAGCCGCGGUAAUACGUAGGGUGCGAGCGUUAAUCGGAAUUACUGGGCGUAAAGCGAGCGCAGACGGUUACUUAAGCAGGAUGUGAAAUCCCCGGGCUCAACCUGGGAACUGCGUUCUGAACUGGGUGACUAGAGUGUGUCAGAGGGAUGUAGAAUUCCACGUGUAGCAGUGAAAUGCGUAGAGAUGUGGAGGAAUACCGAUGGCGAAGGCUGCCUCCUGGUAUAACACUGACGUUUGUGCUCGAAAGCGUGGUAGCAUACAGGAUAGAUACCCUGGUAUCCGAGGGCGAAUUCCACAGUGGAUAUCAGCUGAUCGAUACCGUCUACCGCGGGGAGAUGAAAAAUACCAAGUUUUUGUUCCCUUAUUGAGGGUAAUA
rnacentral:rRNA from 1 species